rnacentral:lncRNA from 1 species
AAACCUGAAGGCAGGUUCUUAACCAAGAAAGGGAGCCCGCCCGAACGGUACAAGCCGAAGGUGGGCUUUUGGUCAGGAAAAAAGCUCACCUGAACGGUGCCUGCCGAAGGUGGGCCUCUGGUCAGGAUAAAAGCCUGCCUGCACCGUACAAGCCAAGGGCAGGCCUCAGGUACACAGCUCUCACUUUGAUGUUGAUGGGGAAGAAUUGAGGCUUUCCUGGGAAAGCAAUUUCCAUGUUUGCGCCAGAGAACAUGGAUUGUUUCUCGGGUGACCUAGUCUUUCCUGUUAUUUUAUUUGUUAUUCAGUUCUUCUCAGUCUUUCCUGAUUAUUUACUUAUUAUUCUUAUUUCCCAUUCUAUUGUCCUGUGGUGAUUUGUGACAACAAUAGUAUCAUAAAAAUUUCAUCCUGAAGGACUUUUCCCCUAUUUAAAUCCAACUUAGUUAAAACAUAGUGUUUAUCUAUCAACUAGUUAUAUAGUAACUUUAGAGUUAGAAUUUUAAUGAGGUCCAUAGAAGUUAGCCAUAUCUUAUCCAAAAAACCUAGCUGUGAGUUUUGGCUUUGAUUUUAAAAGCUUUUUAGUGAUAGCUAGUUUAAUUAAGUUGGUUUAUAUUUACUCACACUGUCUCCCUGCCAUAACGCUUUGAAGAUAAACACCAGUCUACAAACAAAGUUUGUAAAUGCUAAAUUCUUGUGUUUUAUGGCCUCUUCAAAGUACUCACUCAGCUUAGUUAAGGUAGAGCUAUUAAAACAGGAUGCAUAGCUGCUAUACCAUGUAAUAGUUAACCAAUAUACUUUUAACACUGUAAUGUAAUGUGUAGUGAAAAACUGUCUAUAGAAUCAACCACUGUUGCCAAUAAAGUUUGAGCAGUCCAGCGCCCUGAAAGAAGGGACAAAGAGGCUGUCUCCGAUGCAAAAGCCGACAUCCGUCCAUCUUCUUCGAGAAAAAGCAUACGCUCCCUGACUGCCAGAGCGGGCCUCCGGCAAGUUCAUACAUAAAGAAGAAGGAAUAUCUUUUCCUUAAGAAUUCCAAUUAAUACAUAUAGAAAGAAUGAAAGAAAAUCACCAUUAGACAACACAGUAAAUGUUGCGGACAAGAGGCAUAAAAGGGAUGCUAAAAUUAGAGUAAUCAGGAUAUUCGAAUGGUCUGAAAGUAUCUUCCCUAAGAUAAAGGAAGAAGAAGGAAUUUUAAAAGGAAAAUAGAAACUUUACGAGUGGAAAUAUCUAAUGGACACACUUUAACCAAGUGGUCAAAGUUAACCUCCCCAGUGACAAGGUGUAUCGGCCUCCUGAAAACUCAAAUAUGAAGUACUGAGAAGGGCAAGCUCAUUUCUGUACUGUUCCUGCCAGGAUGCAUAACCUCCUUCUAAUCAGGAGAAAAGCAUCAGGCAAACACCCAGUGAGGGACAUGGGACGGAAUAGCUAGAGUCUUUUUCAAAAAUGUCAAGUUCAUAGAUGACAAGGAAGGACUAAGAAAUGUUCACAAAGUGGAGUGAACCAAGGAGAUACAGCUACUGAAUGCAGCCUGGGAUCCCAGAUUGAUUCCUGGAAAAGAAGGUGGGAAAUAGUGGAACAACUGGUGAAAUGUGAAUAUGGUUUAUAGUUUUGUUAAUGGUACUGUGUCAGUGUUCAAAUUUGAUCAUUUUACUGUGAUUAUGUAACAUGUCAACACUAGGGGAAGCUGGAUGAUGAGUAUACAGGCACUCUUCUAUUUUUGCAACUUUUCUGUAAGUCUAAGAUUAUUUAAAAUUAAAAAGGUUUUUUAAAAGCAAUAUAAGCCUCAACAAAAUUGAUCUGUUUCCACAAAGUGUGGUGCAAUUUUCAGGAAAUUGUGUUGCUAACUGGCUAACUAAAUAUUCAGAAGAUUUUUUUUUUCUUUUUUAUGACAUAGCCACAGCAUAUGGAAGUUCCCCAGCGAGGGAUGAAUCGGAGCUGCUGCUGAGGGCUAUGCAGCAGCCAUGGCAACACCGUAUCCAAGCCACAUCUGCCAGGUACACUGCAGUUUUGAUCCUUAACCCACUGAGCAAGGUCAGGGAUGGAACUCGCAUCCUCACGAACGCCAUGUUGAGUUCUUAACCCGCUGAGCCACACACAAUGAGAACUCCUAUUCAGAAGAUUUGAAUAAAGCAACAAACAAAAAUCAUCUUAACAAAUGUUUAAUACUUAAGUAAUCAUUGCCCAAAAUUAGAAAAUAACAGUUCCCUCGUGGCUCAGCAGGAUAAGGACCUGGUGUUGUGACUGCUCUGGCUCAGGUCACUGUUGUGUCAUGAGUUCAAUCUUUGGCCUAGGAAAUUCCACAUGCCAUGGAGGGACCAAAAAAAAAAAAAAAAUUAGAAAAUAAGCUGAAAGAAAAAAAAUCACCGGUCGCUCCACUGUUAAAAUGUGUUAAUGUUCAUUUGUCCAGAAUUUUCUAUAGAUACAUAAAAAUAUGGAUACAUGUGCACAUAUAUGUAUUAUAUAUAGUUCUUUGUUACAAUCAUUAGAUUUCAUUUUAUAAUCUUUUUCAAUUAAAAUUAAAUUAGUAACACAGUUUAUGUAACCACGCAUACACAUACAGCCUCAAUUUUCCUUCCCUCUUAAAGAUACUUUAAUAUUGGAAGGGUUGUAGAUUCAUGGAAAAAUUGAGAAAAUAAUACAGAGAAUUUGUCAUAUACACCACACCUAGUUUUUUCCACUACUAAUAUCUCCCAUUAUUAACAUCAGUAAGAAACCCGUCACCAUGAGUUAACUGAUAUUAACAUAUUUAUUAUAUAUUAAAGUCCAUAGUUUAUUCAGAUUUUAAAGGAUUUUACAUAAUUUCCUUUUUCUGGUCCAAGAUCCCAUUCAGGACACACUGCAUUGCUUUGUCAUGUCUUCUUAGCCUCAUUUGGACUGUGGCAGUUUCCCCGCCUAUAUUUUGGAUGACCUUGACUUUUUGGAGAAGUACUCCUGAGGUAUUUUGUAGGAAGCCCCUCUCUUGGAAUUUGAUGUUUUUCUCAAGAGAAGAUUGGGGAAUGGAGUUUGGGGAAGAAGACUGAAGAGGUAAAGGGACAUCUCCAUGCCGUCAUGUCAAGGGCAUAUACCCCCAAAAUGAUAAACCAACAUACUGGUACUGACGUUCGCCACCUGGAUGAAGUGUUAUGUGUCAGGAUUCUCCACUGCAAAAGUUACUCUCUCCCCCAUUCUCCCCAUGCUGUCCUUUUUCAGAAGGACGUCGCAAUGCACAUCCCAAUCUUAAAGAGACAGUUGAAUUUUAAUGGCUUCAUAAGUAUGGAUUUCAGUAGAUUUAACCAACUUCUUUUCAAUGUUUAAUUUCUAUAAGGAAUUUUGCAGUGCAUUCUAACCCAGGACAUCGAUCUCUUCCUGUAUAGUGAUUAAUUUUUUAGGAUAAAAAGCGAGAAAUGAAAUUGCUGAGAAACUCCUGGUCCUUGUAUCAGCCAUUUCUUUACACCACUUGGGUGUAGCUGGAGUGAGUGAUGGAGCGGUGGGCCCAGGUCCAGCUGUAACACAGCUGUGCAACGUGUUCACCUUUUAUUCUCAGGAGAGGCCACUGGCAGCUUGUUUGCAGGAGAAGGACCAGAUUGGCUUGGUGAUGUGUACUAUGUUUCAUUUCUCAAAGUGGUCCAUUAGAUUAUGGCUGGGUGUUUGUCUUUUGACCUUGGCUCAAGGUCAUUCACAUAAAGAGGCCGUGUUACUGAUGAUCUGCCAUUCUUUCUUGUGCCAAUCUAACUCGUCAUCAGGUGGGACUGGAAAGAGAAGCGGGAGUGCCAAGAUGAUGUAUCAGGAUCGGGGGGGGGGGGNGGGGGGGGGGUGCUGGGGGGUGGGAUGGAGCAGGCCGAGGAUGGGAAGAACAUCCCCAGUGCUGAAGGCUUUCUGGAUGACUCUGUGAAUGAACCAGUCUUGCCUGCUGGACCCGGGGGAUGGCGGGGAAAUGAAGGGCAUUGGGAGAUGAAAGCACAGCUCCCAGACAGCUGACUGUUUUCUGUUCGUUUUGAAUCCUGGCAGCAAAUGUGUCACCCAGGAUAAGGAGAUAAUAAGGCAGCAUCAGGAAGAGCUGUUCAGAGAUUACUCUUUGGGAGACACUAGAUCUAUCUUUUGGUUUGUGACUUAGUAAUUCUUCACACAAAGGGGUUUAUCACAUGUGGCGUGACAAAGGGCUGAUAUAAAGUAGCAGAAUCUCCUAAAUCUUCAUGGUUUUUCAAAAAUGAGGAUAAAAGAGAAUUAAGGCAACAGAAUAUGAGCCAUUAAACAGACCCAUCAGCAAACUUUUUAAACAUUUAGGGACUAGACAGGAGCAAUAAAUAAAUACAUUAGAGAACAAAACACUGAGACCUCUUGCAUUUUUUUUCUCUCUCUAAAAGGUCUUGCUAUUGAUUGGGACAUAAGAACAUCAACGCUCUUUAAACAUCUCAGGAAUAACCAGAUGGCCCAUCCAUCUUAGAGCCUACUGAGAUUUAGAAUUAAUCUUUAAUUACUUAUUUAUAAUUUAUAAUCACACAGAGAGGGGCCACUCAUCCCGCUGGAGUAAUUUUCUUGGUGGGAUUAAGUUGUGCCAGUUGGAAGGCACAUUGAUUCUUUCAGUAGAAACUGGUAUGUCAAUGUGCCACCUUAUCACGAUUGAAAUUAUUCAUCAAUAUGCACAUGAAACCACUGGACAGACUGGUCUUGGUGGUCUCCUAUUUUAAACAUUAUUAAAUCACCUCACUAACUGAAUCCUGCAAAACUCAUGGUCAGUGUAUUUUGGCUGCUAAGAGGGAUGUCAAGACUUGACCUGAAGUUUUCUUUUUUUCCUUUUUCUUUUUUUCUUUGUUUUCUUUUUUGGCUGCCUUGUGGCAUGUGGACUUCCUGGGCCAGAGACCAGAUCCAAGUCCAGUUGCAGCCCACGCCACAGCUGCAGCAAUGCUGAAUCUUUAACUCACUGUGCCAGGCCAGGGAUUGAACCUGUGUUCCAGUGCUCCAGAGAUGCUGCUGAUCCCGUUGCCUCACAGUGGGAAUGGAAGUUUUUAUUUUUUUUCUACCUGCCCAACUCACUCAUCUCACUAUGGAAGUAUGGCUUUGUGAAUCAAAAUAAGCAAGCCAAACCCCCAAUAUAUUUCUUCUAAGUUAUAUUACUUAUAACUGUGGGGUAUUUUACUUGGUGUUGAUCUACAGAUACUCAAAUGUUGCCAAUUUGACAUGCCUGAUACAUCUCUGUAAACUAGGCAUGCAAAAACAGGGGACAAGUGAAAAAUGAAUAGAAAUGAUUUUAGCAGCAAAACAUUCUGAGCGCGAGAGAGGACACUGUUCCUAACACCUUUAUUUCAAAGCAAGCAGGUUUGAUGAGCCUUUACAGGAACAUGACAAAAGAAGCAAGGAGGAAGCCUUGCCAGUAGACUGGGCCAGAUCUUAUUUUAGGGUUUUGGAUCUUGUUUUGGCUGCUCCAAAAGAAUCCAGCGUGAAGAAUAAAAAAACAGAUUCGAAGAUGGCAGGAUUUCAGGACAGGAUUGAGUGCUCAAGACGCUCUAGCUUAAUUUCCUUAUUUUAAAGAUGAGAAUGACUAAGUCCACUGAAGUUGGUGACUUCUUGAAAUUCAUACAUUGAGCUGUUACUAGCUUGUCCCUUUAGCAGGGAUGGGGCUAUCUGCUGCGUAUGUACUGAUUAUUACUGAACAUUAGGCACUGAAAAGAUAUGUCAGGUAAGCCAUCUUGCAGCUGACAGACUGCCUCUCUCAUAAAUGUUGUAAAGACACAAUAUUGUUUAACUUUGAUGAGGAAAGGCUACGGGACAAAAACUGUCCAUGAGGAUGCGAAAUAUUUUAAGGAAAAUGCGGACCAUUUUUUUUUAUCACCAUAGGAAUGCAAAUAAGACAAAUGGAUCCAUGUUAUAGCAGAAUAGAGUUCAAUUAAAAAUAAGAAACAACUUGGAGUUGCUGUUAUGACUCAGCACAUUAAGGACAGGACACUGUCUCUG